GACGAACGCUGGCGGCGUGCUUAACACAUGCAAGUCGAACGAGGAAGCACCAGCUUGCUGGUGUGGAUUAGUGGCGAACGGGUGAGUAACACGUGAGUAACCUGCCCCUCACUCUGGGAUAAGCCUGGGAAACUGGGUCUAAUACUGGAUACGACCGAUCUCCGCAUGGAGUGUUGGUGGAAAGUUUUUGUGGUGGGGGAUGGACUCGCGGCCUAUCAGCUUGUUGGUGGGGUAGUGGCCUACCAAGGCGACGACGGGUAGCCGGCCUGAGAGGGCGACCGGCCACACUGGGACUGAGACACGGCCCAGACUCCUACGGGAGGCAGCAGUGGGGAAUAUUGCACAAUGGGCGAAAGCCUGAUGCAGCGACGCCGCGUGAGGGAUGACGGCCUUCGGGUUGUAAACCUCUUUCACCAGGGACGAAGCUAACGUGACGGUACCUGGAGAAGAAGCACCGGCUAACUACGUG
rnacentral:rRNA from 1 species